rnacentral:rRNA from 1 species
CUUGCUUUCUUUGCUGGCGACCGGCGCACGGGUGGGUAACACGUAUCCAACCUGCCCUUUACUCGGGGAUAGCCCUUCGAAAGAAAGAUUAAUACCCGAUAGCAUAAUGAUUCCGCAUGGUUUCAUUAUUAAAGGAUUCCGGUAAAGGAUGGGGAUGCGUUCCAUUAGGUUGUUGGUGAGGUAACGGCCCACCAAGCCUUCGAUGGAUAGGGGUUCUGAGAGGAAGGUCCCCCACAUUGGAACUGAGACACGGUCCAA